rnacentral:rRNA from 1 species
AUUGAACGCUGGCGGCAGGCCUAACACAUGCAAGUCGAGCGCGAAAGGUCUUCGGACUGAGUAGAGCGGCGGACGGGUGAGUAACGCGUAGGAAUCUACCUAGUAGUGGGGGACAACCUGUGGAAACGCAGGCUAAUACCGCAUACGCCCUACGGGGGAAAGCGGGGGAUCUUCGGACCUCGUGCUAUUAGAUGAGCCUGCGUAAGAUUAGCUAGUUGGUGAGGUAAAGGCUCACCAAGGCGACGAUCUUUAGCUGGUCUGAGAGGAUGAUCAGUCACACUGGAACUGAGACACGGUCCAGACUCCUACGGGAGGCAGCAGUGGGGAAUAUUGCACAAUGGGGGAAACCCUGAUGCAGCCAUGCCGCGUGUGUGAAGAAGGCUCUAGGGUUGUAAAGCACUUUCAGCGAGGAGGAAAGGUUGAUGAUUAAUACUCAUUAGCUGUGACGUUACUCGCAGAAGAAGCACCGGCUAACUCCGUGCCAGCAGCCGCGGUAAUACGGAGGGUGCAAGCGUUAAUCGGAAUUACUGGGCGUAAAGCGUGCGUAGGCGGCUUGCUAAGUUGGAUGUGAAAGCCCCGGGCUCAACCUGGGAACUGCAU